AGCUGAGGUUGCGGCAUACAUCAGUACCUUUGCAGUUGUCGGCGGCAGCCGCGCAGAGGGAAAGGGUCUGCCGCCGAAGUGCGCUUUCGACUGUCCGGCGGGGCGUGCUGGGCCGAUACAGAAGAUGUAUCGGACUGUCAUUCCGUGCGGAAUGGAGCGCAACUGU
rnacentral:ncRNA from 1 species